GAUGAAGAACGUAGCGAAAUGCGAUACGUAAUGUGAAUUGCAGAAUUCAGUGAAUCAUCGAAUCUUUGAACGCAUAUUGCGCUCUCUGGUAUUCCGGAGAGCAUGCUUGUUUGAGUAUCAGUAAACACCUCAACUUCCAUAUCUUUUUUGAAAUGGGAGUUGGACUUGAGUGAUCCCAACGCUUUUCCUCACCGAAAAGUGGCGGGUUACUUGAAAUGCAGGUGCAGCUGGACUUUUCUCUGAGCUAUAAGCAUAUCUAUUUAGUCUGCCUAAAAACAGAUUAUUACCUUUGCUGCAGCUAACAUAAAGGAGAUUAGUUCUUGUGCUGACUGAUGCAGGAUUCACAAAGACAGGCUUCGGCCGACUUUGUAAACUCGAUCUCAAAUCAAGUAAGACUACCCGCUGAACUUAAGCAUAUCAAUAGCGGAGGA
rnacentral:misc_RNA from 1 species